rnacentral:rRNA from 1 species
UACGUAGGAUGCAAGCGUUGUUCGGAAUUACUGGGCGUAAAGAGUACGUAGGCGGUCUGGCAAGUCUGAUAUUAAAGACUGGAGCUUAACUCCAGGACUGUAUCGGAAACUGCCAAACUAGAGGACAAUAGAGGAAGUCGGAAUUCUCAGUGUAGCGGUGAAAUGCGUAGAUAUCGGGAGGAACACCUGUGGCGAAAGCGGCUCACUUGGACCACAACUGACGCUGAGGCGCGAAAGCUAGGGGAGCAACAGG